GAAAUGCGAUAAGUAAUGUGAAUUGCAGAAUUCAGUGAAUCAUCGAAUCUUUGAACGCACCUUGCGCUCCUUGGUAUUCCGAGGAGCAUGCCUGUUUGAGUGUCAUGGAAUUCUCAACUCUAUUUGUUUUUGUGAAUAGAGCUUGGAUUUGGAGGUUUAUUGCUGGUACUUGUGAUCGGCUCCUCUUGAAUGCAUUAGCUCGAACCUUUGCGGAUCAGCUAUCGGUGUGAUAAUUGUCUACGCCGUUGCAGUGAAGCAUAUCAAUGGGCUCGGCUUCCAAUCGUCCUUUACUGGACAAUGACUUUGACCUUUGACCUCAAAUCAGGUAGGAUUACCCGCUGAACUUAAGC
rnacentral:misc_RNA from 1 species